CCUACGGGCGGCAGCAGUAGGGAAUCUUCGGCAAUGGACGGAAGUCUGACCGAGCAACGCCGCGUGAGUGAAGAAGGUUUUCGGAUCGUAAAGCUCUGUUGUAAGAGAAGAACGAGUGUGAGAGUGGAAAGUUCACACUGUGACGGUAUCUUACCAGAAAGGGACGGCUAACUACGUGCCAGCAGCCGCGGUAAUACGUAGGUCCCGAGCGUUGUCCGGAUUUAUUGGGCGUAAAGCGAGCGCAGGCGGUUAGAUAAGUCUGAAGUUAAAGGCUGUGGCUUAACCAUAGUACGCUUUGGAAACUGUUUAACUUGAGUGCAAGAGGGGAGAGUGGAAUUCCAUGUGUAGCGGUGAAAUGCGUAGAUAUAUGGAGGAACACCGGUGGCGAAAGCGGCUCUCUGGCUUGUAACUGACGCUGAGGCUCGAAAGCGUGGGGAGCAAACAGGAUUAGAUACCUGGUAGUC
rnacentral:rRNA from 1 species